CUACGUGCCAGCAGCCGCGGUAAUACGGAAGGUUCGGGCGUUAUCCGGAUUUAUUGGGUUUAAAGGGAGCGUAGGCGGAUUGUUAAGUCAGCGGUUAAAGGGUGUGGCUCAACCAUGCAUUGCCGUUGAAACUGGCGAUCUUGAGUGCAGACAGGGAUGCCGGAAUUCGUCGUGUAGCGGUGAAAUGCUUAGAUAUGACGAAGAACUCCGAUUGCGAAGGCAGCUGACGGGAGCGCAACUGACGCUGAAGCUCGAAGGUGCGGGUAUCGAACAGGAUUAGAUACCCUGGUAGUCCGCACAGUAAACGAUGGAUGCCCGCUGUUGGUACCUGGUAUCAGCGGCUAAGCGAAAGCAUUAAGCAUCCCACCUGGGGAGUACGCCGGCAACGGUGAAACUCAAAGGAAUUGACGGGGGCCCGCACAAGCGGAGGAACAUGUGGUUUAAUUCGAUGAUACGCGAGGAACCUUACCCGGGCUUGAA
rnacentral:rRNA from 1 species